CACCUAUGAUGACUUGCCAUGCUAAUACCGAGGCACCGGGUGUCAGUGAGUUCAGCUUGCUUCUCGCAGGAAGACCUGAGGUGU
ensembl:snoRNA small nucleolar RNA U6-53/MBII-28